UAGGAGCCCAGCCAGAGGCAAGAGAGAGAAAGAGACAACAGCAGAGCCUGUCCUAAUGCUUCAUGGACACUAGACCCCUACCAUGGGACCCCUGUGUUACCACCAUGAAGAAGCGGACCAGAAGACUGUAAGAUAGCACCACACUGCGACCACAGCGAGAUAACGAC